UACGGGAGGCAGCAGUGGGGAAUAUUGGACAAUGGGCGAAAGCCUGAUCCAGCCAUACCGCGUGUGUGAAGAAGGCCCUAGGGUUGUAAAGCACUUUAAGUUGGGAAGAAAAGUUAUUGGUUAAUACCCAAUGACCGUGACAUUACCAUCAGAAUAAGGACCGGCUAAUUCCGUGCCAGCAGCCGCGGUAAUACGGAAGGUCCAAGCGUUAAUCGGAAUUACUGGGCGUAAAGCGCGCGUAGGUGGUUUAUUAAGUUGGGUGUGAAAUCCCCGGGCUCAACCUGGGAACUGCAUCCAAAACUGAUUCACUAGAGUACGAUAGAGGGAGGUAGAAUUCACAGUGUAGCGGUGGAAUGCGUAGAUAUUGUGAAGAAUACCAAUGGCGAAGGCAGCCUCCUGGAUCUGUACUGACACUGAGGUGCGAAAGCGUGGGUAGCGAACAGGAUUAGAUACCCUGGUAGUCCACGCCGUAAACGAUGUCAACUAUCUGUUGGAAAGCAUUGCUUUUCAGUGGAGCAGCUAACGUAAUAAGUUGACCGCCUGGGGAGUACGGCCGCAAGGCUAAAACUCAAAUGAAUUGACGGGGACCCGCACAAGCGGUGGAGCAUGUGGUUUAAUUCGAUGCAACGCGAAAAACCUUACCUAUGCUUGACAUACUUGGAAUACUUUGUAAUGAAGUAGUGCCUUCGGGAGCCAAGAUACAGGUGCUGCAUGGCUGUCGUCAGCUCGUGUCGUGAGAUGUUCCGUUAAGUCGGAUAACGAGCGCAACCCUUACCCUUAUUUGCCAGCGAUUCGGUCGGGAACUAUAAGGGGACUGCCGGUGAUAAACCGGAGGAAGGUGAGGACGACGUCAAGUCAUCAUGGCCCUUACGCAUAGGGCUACACACGUGCUACAAUGGAGAAUACAGACGGACGCUAAGCCGCGAGGUGGUGCCAAUCCUAGAAAAUUCUUCGUAGUCCGGAUUGGAGUCUGCAACUCGACUCCAUGAAGUCGGAAUCGCUAGUAAUCGCGAAUCAGCAUGUCGCGGUGAAUACGUUCUCGGGUCUUGUACACACCGCCCGUCAUACCAUGGAAGUGGAUUGCACCAGAAGUAGAUAGUCUAACCUUAGGGAGGGCGUUUACCACGGUGUGCUUCAUGACUGGGGUAAAGUCGUAACAAGGUAGCCGUAGGGGAACCUGUGGCUG
rnacentral:rRNA from 1 species